rnacentral:rRNA from 1 species
CCGGUUGAUCCUGCUGGAGGCUGCAGCUAUUUGGUUUGGGUUUAGACAUGCAAGUUUUUUGCCGUCGAAAGAUAGGUGAAGGCAAACUGCUCAGUAACACGUAGCUAACCAACCCUUAGGUCAAGGAUAACCUCGGGAAACUGAGGCUAAUACUUGAUAGAAGUUUAUUGCUGGAAUGCUUUUACUUUGAAACUCGUGCCUAAGGAAGGGGCUGCGGUCGAUUAGGUUGUUGGUGGGGUAACUGCCUACCAAGCCGAUGAUCGAUAGGGGCUCUUAGCGGAGUUGCCCCGAGAAGGAAUCUGAGACACUAUUCCUAGCUCUACGGAGUGCAGCAGUCGCGGAUCAUUUACAAUGCACGAAAGUGUGAUAAUGCGAACCAAAGUGCUUUCUUUUUGAAAGCUUUUCUUUGCUUUAAAACGGCAAAGGAAUAAGGACUGGGUAAGACAGGUGCCAGCCGCCGCGGUAAUACCUGCGGUCCAAGUUGCAGCCAUCAUUAUUGGGUCUAAAACAUCCGUAGCUCGUUUGUUAAGUUUCUUGUGAAAUCCUACUUCUCAAGGGUAGGGCUAGCAAGAAAUACUGGCAGACUCGGGAUCGGUAGACGUAGGGAGUACAUCUAAGGUAGUGGUAAAAUACGUUAAUCUUAGAUGGACUAACAAUUGGCGAAGGCACCCUACGAGGACGAAUCUGACAGUGAGGGAUGAAGGCCAGGGGCGCAAAACGGAUUAGAUACCCGUGUAGUCCUGGCAGUAAACACUGCUCACUAAACAUCGGUCUCUCUUCGGGAGAAAUCGGUGCUGAAGCGAAGGCGAAGAGUGAGCUACCUGGGAAGUAUAGUCGCAAGAUCGAAACUUAAAGGAAUUGGCGGGGAGGCACACAACGAGUGACGCGUGCGGUUCAAUUAGAUUCUACACCGUGAACCUCACCAGGAGCGACAGCAGAAUGAAGGUCAGUCUGAAGGGCUUACCUGACGCGCUGAGCGGAGAUGCAUGGCCAACAUCAGCCUGUGUCGUGAGAUGACCUGUUAAAUCAGGUAACAGGCGAGACCCGUG